rnacentral:ncRNA from 1 species
GUCCAUAAGGGUAAGUAUUACCCUUAUGGACAUCAAGUAGCAUGUAUCA